GUAGCCAUGGACGCUUUGGAUCGAGUUAUAAAGCCCAAAACGAAAAGAACCAAGAGAUUCCUUGAGAAGAGAGAACCGAAACUCAGUGAAAAUAUUAAAAAUGCUAUGCUGAUUAAAGGGGGAAAUGCAAAUUCAAUGGUGACACAAGUACUUAAAGAUGUGUAUGCACUGAAAAAACCGUAUGGAGUUCUGUAUAAAAAGAAAAACAUUACAAGACCAUUUGAGGAUCAGACAUCGUUGGAAUUCUUUUCAAAGAAGUCAGAUUGUUCUUUAUUUAUGUUUGGCUCCCAUAAUAAGAAGCGGCCAAAUAAUCUAGUAAUAGGUCGUAUGUAUGACUACCAUGUGCUGGAUAUGAUUGAAUUGGGUAUCGAGAAGUUUGUCUCUCUAAAAGAUAUUAAGAUUUCUUCAGAGGCCCCACGGUACCAAAUAUCCGCCUGGCUGGUUUAGAGUAUGUUCUGCACUUCACUGCAUUGAAUGGCAAGAUUUACUUUCUAAGCUAUAAGUUGCUGUUGAAGAAAUCUGGUUGUAGAACACCAAGGAUUGAAUUGGAAGAGAUGGGUCCCUCAUUGGAUCUGGUUCUGAGGAGGACACGUCUGGCAUCAGAUGAUCUUUAUAAAUUAUCUAUGAAAAUGCCAAAAGCGCUCAAGCCAAAGAAGAAGAAAAAUGUCUCCCAUGAUACUUUUGGUACAACUUAUGGAAGGAUUCAUAUGCAGAAGCAAGACCUAAGCAAACUACAAACCAGGAAAAUGAAGGGUUUGAAGAAGCGACCUGCAGAAAGGAUAACAGAAGACCAAGAGAAAAAAUCAAAGAGAAUUAAAAAAAACUGAUGGAACUUAGCCAGUGACUAUAAUGUUAUUGUAGUCUGUUUACUUAAGAGAAUUAUCAAUCAUCAGUCAUUUCUAAGUUUCUUAAAGAUUUUAUUAAAUAUUUUUGUAGUGUGGUAA